rnacentral:lncRNA from 1 species
AACCAAACACACUACUUGAGAUGGUCCAUAAUUUCUUUCUAGCACACAGGGAGACAGGCAGGUGGAUCUCCAGGUCAGCCUGGUCUGCAAAGGAAAUUCCUGGACAGCUAGGGCUAUACAGGGAGAAACCCUGUCUCAAAGAAGAAAACGAAGAAAAUAAAACAAACAAAUAAACAAAAAAGUAAAAAAGAAAAGAAAACCAAUCAUACAGAUAACAGCAAAGGGCUGGGGAGCCGGCUCAGUGGUUAGGAACACUAGCUGCUCUGCUCUUCCAGAGAACCUGUGCUUGGUUACCUGUCUCCACUUCAGCUUGCUUACACCUAGCUCUAACUCCAGCUCCUGGGGAUCCAAUGCCCUCUUCUGACCUCUGCUGGUACCCACAUAUAGGUGUUAGACAUAUAUACAC